rnacentral:rRNA from 1 species
AAUCAACGCUGGCGGCGUGCCUAACACAUGCAAGUCGCACGAGAAAGGGUCUUCGGAUCUGAGUAAAGUGGCGCACGGGUGAGUAACACGUGAAUUAUCUACCUUCGAGUGGGGAAUAACUUCGGGAAACCGAGGCUAAUACCGCAUAAUAUCUACGGAUCAAAGCAGUAAUGCGCUUGAAGAGGAGUUCGCGGCAGAUUAGUUAGUUGGCGGGGAAAUGGCCCACCAAGACGAUGAUCUGUAUCCGGCCUGAGAGGGCGCACGGACACACUGGAACUGAAACCCGGUCCAGACUCCUACGGGAGGCAGCAGUGGGGAAUUUUGCGCAAUGGGGGAAACCCUGACGCAGCAACGCCGCGUGGAGGAUGAAGUCUCUUGGGACGUAAACUCCUUUCGAUAGGGAAGAUUAUGACGGUACCUAUAGAAGAAGCCCCGGCUAACUUCGUGCCAGCCGCCGCCGUAA